UACGUAGGGGGCAAGCGUUGUCCGGAAUCAUUGGGCGUAAAGCGCGCGUAGGCGGCUCGAUCAGUCUGUUGUGAAAGUCAAAGGCUCAACCUUUGAAUGCCGAUGGAUACUGUCGAGCUAGAGUCCGGAAGAGGCGGGUGGAAUUCCUGGUGUAGCGGUGGAAUGCGCAGAUAUCAGGAGGAACACCAACGGCGAAGGCAGCCCGCUGGGACGGUACUGACGCUAAGGCGCGAAAGCUAGGGGAGCAAACGGG
rnacentral:rRNA from 1 species